rnacentral:lncRNA from 1 species
UUCCAGUCAAGGUCCCUUCAGCUCUCUGAGUUACUCUUACCGAUUGUAGGAAAAGGCAAGCAUGCUGAAGAACAGUUGGCUCCACGGGUGACUACGAGUUUGGGGUGGGACCCCAGGGACAGGCUAUUUAUGGCGAACUGGGGAAACACAGCCAAAGAAACACCCACUGUAAGAGCAUUAGCUGUGUGGCCCCAGCCCCCGCGCCUCGGCUCCCCAGGGAAUGGCCACUUCUCCACUAUCUGCUCGGGCAAGUUACUUGAUUUGCCUGAGCUUCACUUCUCACCGCUAAAAUGGGGGCACUCCUACCUGCCUGACAGGUGUAAGAAGACAGAUAGAGGAACCUAAAGUACCUGGCUCAAGCUGGCCCAGGGCUGGGUAAGCUAUUGAUUCAAUAUUCAAAAUAUGUGCAAGUCACUGUCCAAAGCACUGGGGAUCUUACAGUGAAGACCACAGAAAAAAUCCUGUCUCUUGGAGCUUACUGCCAAGUGGGGGAAUCUAACAAUAAAAAGAUAAACAAAUAAAUAGUAUGUUAGGUGACGGCAAUUCUCAUAGACAGGGG